GUGGAUGGAAGGUUAUCUAGAUUUUCCCCGGCCAUCUCAUAAGUGGGAUCGCAUAUCUUCCCGAGGAGCUUUACAAGCAAUUAAACUUGCAGCUACUACUUUUGAGAAGAUCACUGCAUGUUUAGCUUACUAUGGCUACUUUGAGUGUAAACAGAGCAUGGCGUAUGACCGUACUUGGUAUAAGGAGUUAGAUGGUGUCCAUUUUGAGAUUUGGUGUCGGGUCACUGAGAAACAGGUUAGUGCUGAUCUGCACUAUAAACACCAGUCUGCAUAACUAAGCAACUAUUCGAUGAUGGUUCCUUGUUUUUACAAACACUGUGUAUGCUUAGAAAUGCAUGAUUUUUGCCUUGGAUAAUGUUCAGAUGAGUUUCAGAGAUGCUCUAGCGGAGGUUUGUGCGCUGAACAAGUUUCCAUUACGCCAACGUAGAAUGGAAGAUGCAUUGAAGCGGGACUACACCAUGGAGAGAUUGGAAUCCGAGGUACUCCCUCCGUUUGAAAUUACUUGUCUCGAAAAUGGAUGUAUCUAGAACUAAAACAAGCCUAGAUACAUCCAUUUCUGCGACAAGUAAUUCCGAACGGAGGGAGUAGGUUGUUUUGGUCUGUGGAUAAUUUGCAGUUGUAACUUGAUAUUCUCUUGUGUAUGUAUGCUUAUCUCUUUUCAUCUUUUCUUACUCCAGUACCAUACCUGCACGGCAAAGGUUCCCCCGGGAGCAAGUAGUUGUGUUUUUUUUGUGUGUGGCUUGCAAGUGUAAUCCAUUGGAUUUUGUUUUAUUAUGUGAUGUCUUGUCUGCUUGUCUUCAUCAGACUGAAAAGGAC